GCAGGUCGGUGGAAGGUCCGGUGCAUGCAGAGCUCCCCCGGCUCUGCAGUGGGCUCAGGCCCUUGGGAGUCCUGCUGUGGGCUGGGCACCCUGGCUGCCCAGGGUGGCCGAGUCCUUGGUGCUGGGACAGUGGCCCUUGAGGACCUGGCACGCUGCAUCACGGACUCUCCAGGGAGGACGCUGCCUGGAUGACCGUCCCCACAGAGGAGGGCAGGGGGCUCAUCUGGAGAUGGUUAGAAGGGGUGCGGGUCUCCCUGGGUGGUCUUCCUGGUGCUGCCCUGCCUGGUGCCUGUCAGCUGACCUGCACUGUGUCUGUGCCCGCCCGCUGCAUAUUCCUCAAGGCGCCUGAGGCCCGGUCAGGCUGUGUCCAACCAUGGCAGCUGCAAAUCCAUUCCUGGGGAGCUUGCGCUCAGCCAGCCUUGGCAGGGGGCAGAGGAUGGUGGUCUGUGCUCUGGGUAUUGGCUCUGGAUGGCUUAUUUGAGGGGUCAUGCCUGCUGACCCCUGCCCUAGGGGAGUAGUGGCAGCAGCAGAUGUUUCCCUGAGGGACACUGGCCUGGAGGGUUGGCCCUGGCCAGGGGCCCUGGAGCAGAGGGGGGAGGCUGAGGACAGGGCCCACCGCACACUGACCGGCCCAGCCUCCGGUCCUCACCAUGAGAUGGGUUGCUGAGGGGCAUCCCGGCUGUGCGGUUACCCGAAGAGCCCGUGGUCACUGCCUGGCCGGGGACAGGGCUCCACUGUCUGGCUGCUAGUCUGGGGCUGCGGGGACCGUGUUGGCCGCGGCCAGGUCCGUGCUGGUUCCUGCAGACCCACGGGGCCUCCGGCUGCUCCGAAUCCUGCAGCCCCUCCUCGGACUUGGGGCCUCCACCAUGAGGGGGCUGCUGGGCGAAGUCUCCGGUGUGGUGGGGCCUGUGGAUAGGUUUUCAUGACUGGCCUGGGGCAUGGUGGGCCCCAUCCGCUAAUGCUCACCCUGCUUCAGGCCUGCACAAAAUCCGCCAAACGUCCGGGGUGGGGGGGCCGCUGUGGCUCCCGCAGGGCUGUGUCGGGCAGACCAUCUCCUGGACCGGGGCCCGUCCUCGGGCUGUCACCGGCUUCUGAGGAUGCAGGGCGAGGGCGUGGGGGUGUCUGCGGGCUGGGAGCGCGGGCGCUGCACCCUCUGCUGGGGGCCCGCUUGGGGACUGGGGUUUGUGGCCUGGAGAGUGUCACCGUGGUACCAGCUACCGCUGUAGCACCGUGACACAGACAGGACCAGAAACCUCCCGGCUUGCUGGGGCCUCUCUGAUGGGGUGGGGGUGGCCGGAGCUCUGUGGGUGAGGAUUCCGAGGGGGCUUCCAGCCCAGUCUGCAGUCACGUUGAGCGCCCUGCGGGUGGGUGGGCUCUGAGGCAGAGGCCGGCUGCCCCCCGCCCACCCUGCCUGGAGCAGCUCCAGCUCUGCGGCCUCAGCCCUGCUUCUCUCUGGGCCCCCUGGGCAUGCUGGGUCCGUCCCAUCGGUGAGCGGUCUGCUCUCAGCCCUGCUGGCUGGUCACUGCAUCAGUGGGAGUGGGAUUCCCGAGGGCAGAGGGACAGAGGGCUGAAGGAGGGGCUCUGGGUCUGUCCAGAAUUACAGUGGGGGGGGUCAGUGCCGAAUCUCCCCCUGCCUGUUCCCCCAGGUGUGCGGUGGGGGCUGGGCUGGGUGCAGGGGCGUGGUGUCCUCAGCUGAGCUCCCCCUGCAGCUGCCCCAGCCACUCCCCUGCCUCUGUAGCACCCUCUGCACCUGCCCUCCACUAGGCAGGUGGGACCUGGGAGACAGGCUAGUCCCCCAGGGCUCAUGGAGAGCUCAGGGGGAGUCAGCUCAGCCCCAGGUCAGGUCCCAGGCCUGACCGCCCCCAUCCCAGGCACUGCCUGGCAUUUGUUCUGAGGCUCAUCCCUGUGGUAUUGGGUAUCCUCACUGUGGUAGAGCCCUGCUCCGAAUCCUUGGCAGCGUCCCCUCCCCAGAGGGAGUCCUGGCACAGCAAGGAUAGAGGAGGGGAGAGCAGGUGGAGCAGGCAGAGGAUGUGAAGCUGGGGGCCAUGGGCAGGGGGCUCUCCAGAGAGGACCUGCUAGCCAACCGUCCCCCCUGCCCACCUGCCCAGGCCUGAGCCCAGGGUGCAGUGAGGGCCUCCCGUGUGUGGCAAGAGGUCCAUUCUAUCCCCCUGUCCUGGGGGCAAGACAGGGCAGGCAUGAAGAUAGGAGGUGGGUAGGGGCCAGGCCAGCAUUGUGCACAUCCUCUCCCCACAGGAUGCUUGCACUGGACCCCGGCACUCAGUCUGCUGCGUCCCUGGGUCUGCCCUGCGCUGCCUGGUGCUUGCGACAGGAGCUGACUUGAGCUCACCAGCCCCCUAUGACCGGGGGGAGGAGGGGAGGACAGCAUGAGGGUACAAGGCCCAGCCCGUAGUGGGGGCCAGUGGGCCUGGCGAGGACAGCUGGUUUUGAACACAGGCCAUGUCACUGUGGGAGGUACUACUCCAGUACCCACAGUGACAGAGGCUCAGACAAUAUGGCCUGUCCCCAGGGCCUGGGGGAGGGCCCAGCUCACAGCUGCCCACCCCAUCCUGGUGGAGGCCAGGGCCCCUUCAGCCUGCCUUGGAGAGACAAGCUGAGGCAUCUGUCACCUGGGCCGCUGAGUGCAGGUGGGCUGGGAGAUGGGGCCUGAUUGAGGAGACGCUGGGUCCCCCUGGGGUCCUGACCCUGGCUCACCUGCAGUUGAUGGAGAAGAGCCUGGCAUCUCCAGGAGAGGCCCCUGGGGCCUGGUGCAGGGGGCACUAGGGCAGGCACAGGGCUCUGGGCACCCCCCCACCCCGGGCUCCCAGCCUUCUGCAUAGCUGGGUGGGCCUGCCCAGGGCCUCGGUCCCCGCACUGGGGAGGGGAUGCUGACGGAGCCUCUACAGAGGGACAGAUGCGCAGAGAAAGGGUUGACUUGAGCCAGGCCCAUGGAGCCCAGCCUGGGGGCUCUGCACUCACUGUCCUUGGGGGGCAGAGGGGCUGCUGCGCUUGGGCUCUCUGUGCACCGAGGCCUGUGGUUUCCUCCUUGCCUGGCCCCAACACAGCCCCUCUGGCCACACUGGACGCGGCCUCAUCAUUUAGAAUCAGUCAGACCCGGAGGCCGUCAGCACAAGGGGCCCAUCCCCCAGAGCCCAGAGUCCCAGAUUCAAAGGGGUCAGAGGGUGGGCCCCAGGGGGCAGAGGGCCCUGGUUGGUGCUAUGGGAGGCAUCACUGUGGUACCCGUCGUCAUCUAGACCACUGUCUGAUGCCCCGUGACAAUAACCCGGGCCCGGCACCUGGAGGCGGGGCUGGCAGGAGGAGCCUCCUCAGGAAAGGGGAUGUCCGGGGGCCACCAGUGCUGUGGAGACUGGGAGCUGCCCUGCAACCCAUGCCAGUUGCUGGGGUGGGAGACUGAGGCUCCAGUCCGCAGGCCCUGGGGUGGACUGGGAGGGGAGAGGCAGCACCCAGGAUGCCGGGGUCCUGCAAGGUGGACGCCACAUCUUUGAUCCCCUUGUCUGUGGACGCCAGGCCUGAGGCACCUGGCCAGGCUGGACAUGGAGGUGUGCGGUCUGGUGCAUUGGUGGGGCUCAGACCUGCUGCCCCAGGGCGGGGGUCGGGUGCUGGCUGGUAGAAUCCCUGCCAUGCUGCGGCCACCCUCCCAGGAAGGUCCACCAGUGGACUCCCUGCCCCAGGAACGCAGCCCCUGGGGAGAGAAGCCUGACAUGGACGAAGGAGUGUGGAGGAGGGGCAGAGCUGGGGGGACGGCCGUGUGCCUGAGAGCCAGACGAGGCCCCGGACAGUGUCGGGCCCCCGGAGCCCAGCAGCACACUGCACCUCCUGGCCAUGAUCAGCACAACAACCGACACCCAGAGCCUGCGCAGCCCACGCCCUGAGGUAGAGACCCUGGACUCCGCGGCCGGGACAGGGACAAGACCCACCGCCCUCAGGAUGGCAGGGGCCGUGAUGUGCUCCAUCUCCCGUGAACCUCCCUCUGCCUCGAACCUCAGGGAGCUCCGAGUAUGGGCCGAGCUCCAGCGGCCACUCCUCUUAGCCUGCCCAAGGAUAUCUGGGGGUGCUGCCCAUAGGGAGCUUGACCCCUGAGAGGUGGCCACUGGAGGCUUGGUCCUUCCUGACUCCUGCCGUAGCGCGGAGAGCCGUGUCCAUGCCCGCCACCUUGCUGGGUGUUGUGCCACCAUUCCCGGCCCAUGAAGGCCCUGGCUAUGGGAGGACAUUGUAGGUUGACACAAGCCCAUGGGCUGAGCUGGCAACUGCUGGCUCUGGAGGCCCAGGGUCCCGGCUCUGACCCUCAGGAGCCAUGCUUGAGGGCCCCGGGUUCCAGCUGGUUUUCGCCGCUGGAUCUGUCACUGUGGUAGCCACCGUAGUUACACAGUGGGACGUUCCUUGUCAAAAAGCCCAGGCGGGCGGCAGAAGGAGCCCUGCCCUGCCGGAGGCCCCUGGUCCUGGUGCCUCACUGGGUCUGUCGGCACAGGUGUCCCGUGCACCUG